ensembl:lncRNA
AAACAAUUCACUAUUAGGUAUGUUCACUGAUUUUAAAUUCGAGUUAGUUUGAUGAUUUCAUAUGAAGUUCAUUAAGCCACAAAGUCAGCUGUCAUGUUCAUGUAGGUGUUGAGUAGGUUUAUGUCAGGUGAGAGGAUGUUCGUGUAGGUGUUGAGUAGGUUUAUGUCAGGUGAGAGGAUGGGUUCGUGUAGGUGUUGAGUAGGUUUGUGUCAGGUGAGAGGAUGUUCGUGUAGGUGUUGAGUAGGUUUGUGUCAGGUGAGAGGAUGUUCGUGUAGGUGUUGAGUAGGUUUAUGUCAGGUGAGAGGAUGUUCGUGUAGGUGUUGAGUAGGUUUAUGUCAG